AGAUCAUGCUUGGGUGCCCAGGCUCCUGUGCUUAAUCUUUCUUAACUGGAUCAUCAGUGCUUGGGAAAUGGGCAGGAUAACAAUUUAAAGAGAUAAUUGACUGCACAAAUCAGCUCAUCCCUUCAAGGGAUAAAUUUUCUCACACUUUCUGGUUCUGUAAUAGGUCAGGGCUGUUGGAGACAGAGCUGGCUUUUUCCCUGAUGUCCAGGGUCCUGAAAUGAAGUAUGGCUGGGCCACUUGACUGGGAGUGCAGUUACAGAAGCCAAUGCUGGUGCUGCAGAGAGCGCAAUGCCCAAAGUGGGUGCAUCUCUGAUGGUGUAAAGGAUGAAGAACAAGCUCUGAGGAAGGUUAGCAGGAAGCUCGAUUCAAGUCACCAGCAGAAAACAGAGUUGCCUUCAUGUCUUUACUCUCAAGGUUCUGCAGGCUCUGGAUUUUCUGCUGAAACUGGUAAUGGGAGAAACAGGAUUGAAUAAGGAAAUCUACACUAGAUGCUGGGAUUUACAUCCCCAGCCCGUCACUCAAACUGCCUCCUUCCACAAGGACUGAGAUGCCAAACUUCCCAGGCUCACUACUCUCAGGAUGAUAGAACUAAUACCCCCAACUGCUUGGCCUGCCCUCACAAACAGCACUUGCCAUUGUCAUCUAGAAAGCCACAUUCCUCACCAGAGCCUUCACUUGCUGCCUGGCUGGUCCUUGACAUGCUCCUCCAAUCUGGAUGUUUCUCUUGCCAUAGCGGAAACCUGAAUCUUGUUAAAUGGAGAUGGGCAAUACAGGCAAUGGAUCCUUCAGGUCUCCUUCUUCCAAGCAAAUGUAGCCCUGGGAACACUUUCAUUGAAAAGAAAGAAGAGACAAAGUGACUGGUGACUGGUGAUACAAAAUCAGAAUAGGGAUAUUGGUAUUUUAUCUUCCAAUAUGUCUUCUGGACUUCUUGGUGAUACUACUAAUCAGGCGGGAGUGCUGUUGUCCCAUAUACUGCAUUUGUAUGACUCAGAAAAAGAAGCCCAUUCCUCCAGGAAGAAUCAGCCUUGGGCAUCUUGCUUGAGGAGGAGAGCAUGGGCUCAAUUUCUAUUGCAGUGACUAGCUUCUCCAACCCAAACCAGCUACUCUUCUCCAAUGAACAACCUGAACAUCCACACAUGGUGGACCUGUGAAUAGACCUUUGUUUUACAAGUUGCUGUGACUGAAAUGGCUGUGAAAUGAGGACUAAACUGACCGCAAGCAUUGUGCACAAUGAGGUAUACUUAAGGGGAUGUGUGUGUGUGUGUGUCCUGGUAAAUAACUGAAUUGCCAAAGAUGUCUACAGAAGUCCAAGGUGGGUAACAAGAAUGAGAACCAACAAAGGCAGCAUCUCCUAAAAUGUGUUUAGCAGGACCAACUUACCAGGAGAUAAUGAAAAAGCAAGAGGUGGACCUCAAGUCAUUAGGAGAGAAGAAAAUUAAAACCAGACGAUUGGCCCACUGGUGAUAAGUUGCCUGGAAUAAUCAGAGAAUUUGAAGGCUGGCUUGGUUAUCCCUGGAAUCUGGCCCAAUUCUGGUUUAUAGCAAAUGUUGUUAACUAGGGGGUCCAUCAGUGACCUUCAGGGGACCUGUGAACCUCCUGAAAUUACAGUAUUAUUUUGCAUGUAUGUGUGCAUACACACUUUUGCUGUGGAGGGUCUUAGCAGUCAUCAGAUUAUCGGAUUAAGAACUGGUCUCGGCCAGGCACGGUGGCUCACGCCUGUAAUCUCAACACUUUGGGAGGCCGAGGCAGGCGGAUCACCUGAGAUCAGGAGUUCGAAACCAGCCUGGCCAACAUGGCGAAACCCCAUCUCUACUAAAAAUACAAAAAUUAGCCGGGUGCGGUGGUGGGUGCCUGUAGUCCCAGCUACUAGGGAGGCUGAGGUGGGAGAAUAAUUUGAACCCAGAAGGUGGAGGUUGCAGUGAGCCAAGAUCCUGCCAUUGCACUACUGUCACCUGGGCGACAGAGCGAGACUCCGUCUCAAAAAAAAGAACCGGUCUCAAGAUACACAGGUGACCCAGCUGGGUGGGUCAGAGUGCAUUUUGUUGAACAUGGAAACAUUAUACCAUAAGAUGUCCUGUUAGAAAACAAAGCUAUUUACUAUUAAGGCCAAGAAAGUUGUAAUUUUUCUUGGAAAGAAGCUACUAAUGCCUCAGAAGAACCUUUUUCCUCUUGUAUGGAGUUUGAUCACCUUGCCCAUAAGAAUCCAAUGGUAAUUCUCUGAGAGGCUUGGGUUUUCUGAAUGAGUGUACCUAAUAUUGAAUAAGCAAAGUGUGUUCCUCAUUAGAUGUUCAAACUGAUACCCUAGUAAGUUAUAUUUACAUUCUCUCAACCUCCUUAAGCUUAUAGUAAUUAAUUUUCUCCUUUUUUGCAAUCAUCCAAAUGAGUGGGUAAGAAUCUGGGCCCUGGAGUCCUUCAAUCUGAAAUGCAAGAUAUGGCUCUUCCAGAUACCAGUUGGAGAGGUUUGUAUGUAAUUUUAUCACCCUGAAUUUCAGUUUCAGCACUUGGUAAAAUGGAGAUAAUAAUAGUAUCUACUGCACUGUCAACAUUAGACAGAUCAACGAGACAGAAAGUCAACAAGGAUACCCAGGAAUUGAACUCAGCUCUGCGCCAAGCAGACCUAAUAGACAUCUACAGAACUCUCCACCCCAAAUCAACAGAAUAUACAUUUUUUUCAGCAUCACACCACACCUAUUCCAAAAUUGACCACAUACUGGGAAGUAAAGCACUCCUCAGCAAAUGUAAAAGAACACAAAUUAUAACAAACUAUCUCUCAGACCACAGUGCAAUCAAACUAGAACUCAGGAUUAAGAAACUCACUCAAAACCACUCAACUACAUGGAAACUGAACAACCUGCUCCUGAAUGACUACUGGGUACAUAAUGAAAUAAAGGCAGAAAUAAAGAUGUUCUUUGAAACCAACGAGAACAAAGACACAACAUACCAGAAACUCUGGGACGCAUUCAAAGCAGUGUGUAGAAGGAAAUUUAUAGCACUAAAUGCCCACAAGAGAAAGCAGGAAAGAUCUAAAAUUGACACCCUAACAUCACAAUUAAAAGAACUAGAAAAGCAAGAGCAAACACAUUCAAAAGACAGCAGAAGGCAAGAAAUAACUAAAAUCAGAGCAGAACUGAAGGAAAUAGACACACAAAAAAACCCUUCAAAAAAUUAAUGAAUCCAGGAGCUGGUUUUUUGAAAGGAUCAACAAAAUUGAUAGACCGCUAGCAAGACUAAUAAAGAAAAAAA